rnacentral:rRNA from 1 species
GGGUGCGUAACGCGUAUGCAACCUACCUUCCACAGGGGAAUAGCCCAGAGAAAUUUGGAUUAAUGCCCCAUGGCACAGCGAGACGGCAUCGUCUUGCUGUUAAAGUAACAACGGUGGAAGAUGGGCAUGCGUCCCAUUAGCUAGUUGGUAAGGUAACGGCUUACCAAGGCUAUGAUGGGUAGGGGUCCUGAGAGGGAGAUCCCCCACACUGGUACUGAGACACGGACCAGACUCC